rnacentral:rRNA from 1 species
GUAGGGAAUCUUCCACAAUGGGCGCAAGCCUGAUGGAGCAACACCGCGUGAGUGAAGAAGGGUUUCGGCCCGUAAAGCUCUGUUGUUGGAGAAGAACGUGCGUGAGAGUAACUGUUCACGCAGUGACGGUAUCCAACCAGAAACGCACGACUAACUACGCUCCAGUAGUCGCGGUAAUACGUAGGUGGCAAGCGUUAUCCUGAUUUAUUGGGCGUAAAGCGAGCGCAGGCGGUUGCUUAGGUCUGAUGUGAAAGCCUUCGGCUUAACCGAAGAAGUGCAUCGGAAACCGGGCGACUUGAGUGCAGAAGAGGACAGUGGAACUCCAUGUGUAGCGGUGGAAUGCGUAGAUAUAUGGAAGAACACCAGUGGCGAAGGCGGCUGUCUGGUCUGCAACUGACGCUGAGGCUCGAAAGCAUGGGUAGCGAACAGG